CCCCUACGUGCGUCUCUCACGUAACCACGCCCCCGAAGCUCUCUGGCCUACCUGGGGAAAAAACAAGACCCGGCGAGCCCGAAGGUUUGCCUUGUUACCCUAGCAACGGUGUCUGGAACGGAUAGAUGGCCACCUAGCGAUUUGUCCGAACUUGUGGGGUCUGGGCCGCUUGUUCCCAACUUUUAAGGCCUUGCAGCCCUGAAGACCCGGUGAGUGGUUCCGGCCGGGCGACGAAAUUGCGAGAACUGAUCCACUUAAGGAGAGGUCGAAAUUACACCCCAGCUGCUAGCGUUCUCUCAAAAGAGAUUCGUCCUUUGAAACGCUUGGUUUGUUUUAACCAGGAGCAGUUCCCAAGGACCUCUUGACAGUUAAUUUCUGCCUCCUGGGUCGUCUUAUGAAGUCAUCUGCAGCAACCCCAGUUCCAGUUACACAGUCAGAACUUUUAAAAUCUGUAUUUCAGGAACCAUAGCUUUGUGGCUUCUCUUCCCUUGCUGUUACUAAAGAGUAAGCCUCUCUACCUCUCUCAGUUUUAAGAUCACUUAAUAGGCUUUGAGAAGUUGUGUAAAAUUUUGCAGUCAGGCCCUUAUACUUUGUGAGAUUUUGGUUGUUUCUCUGGCAUCCUUUUGUAUACAGAGGUUAAUCUAGAACUUUCCAUAGCAUUUGGAGGAAUAGUCAGCCCUAUUGGAUGUUUUUGGUAGCUAUAAAUAGGUACAUUUCUUCUCUUGUAAAGCAUCAAGUUUAUGAUGAUUUUCACAGGUUAUUCUAGUCAUCUUUGCACAUAAGAGAGCUAUGAAUCAGAGGAUAGUGACAUAGUCAAGGUUUCACAAUUAGUAAGUAGUAGAGGGAAAAUUUAAACAAGGUAUUCCAAACUCAGAAAUCAUUCUCCCACACAAUACAAUUUAGCUUAUUUGAAAAACUUGUCUUCAUUAAAGUUUUCAUUAGGAACAUAGGCAUUCAAGUCCUUAACAAGUUCUUACCAUGAACUUAACUUAGUUUUUUCUUCUAAAGACUUUGGUAUUUAAUUCUGUACUUAGAAAGCAUUUGAGGUAAAAGAGAGAUUACUCUCAUAGUUUUAUUGUUUAAAAGCUUCUUUUUUGUUAAUAAAACUUUAAAAAACCAAACAUUAUUAAGAACACUUGGAAAAUAUAGAAGAGGAGUGAAAAAAAGGGAAAGUAUUAAGAGAAAAGGUGGGGGAGAUGACAACAGCCUAAAGAAAGGAUUUUUUUUUUCUCCUAAUUGAAACAAAGCCAUUGCAGGGUUUUUAGGUAUCUUCCCUUGUGUUUGAAAGGAGCUCACAGAAAUGUACAAAUAGACUGUAGUGGAGGGCAGAGCAAGGAUGGAAAUAGGGAGAAUGGAUUGGAGGCUAUAGCAGCUGCCAAAUAGGUGAGAGUGGUGAAGCCUUGGCCAGGAUGCUAACAGUGAGGGUGAGAAGUUGGUUAGAGUCUGGAUAUAUGUCUGAAGGCAUAAUUAAUACCAUUUGCUAAUGGAGUGGCUGUGGAAUGUGAAGGAAAGAGAGGAGUUAAGGAUAACUUUCUGAAGUAUAGAGAGGCCAUUAAUUGAGAUACGGAGAGAGGGACAGUUAUUGAGUUAGUAGGGAGAGUCCAGAAAUUUGGUUUGAGAUGUGUUGAAUAAACAGAUGUACAUGUAUGCAGGGCAUAUGUAAUGGGCGUUUGUUUGUAUAUGUGUUUGUUUGCAUUAUAGGGGAGCCUGGAGUUUGUGAGACAGGUCUGGGCUGGAGAUCUAGUUUUAGGAAUUGUCAGCAUAUGGAAUUAAUUUUUAAACUAUGAAACUAGAUGAGAUCUUUAGGAAAGAAUGGUCAGUAGAGCCUAUAAUCUUAUGGGGUUGUACGUACUAAUGAGCUAAAGUAAGUAUUGAAAAAGGUAACAAAUAAGAAAAACUUCAGGUAGUGCUAAGAACUGUGAUGGACUAAAAUAGGGUGAUGUAAUAGACUCUAUCAGAUUGUUAAAAGUAUGCUGGAGCAUUUCUUGGACCUGGGAAGGUUUACUGUAAAAAUGGAUGUUAUUUUUUUUUUAUAUUAUAUUACAUAAAAUGUGCUGGGUGUAAAUAUACUAUAUCAGCUAUUUUUUUUUUUUUGCCAUUGUGUCUUUUCUGUUUUCAUCAGAUUUUCACUAAUAUUAAUUUUUAAAUUAAAAAUUUAAAAAUAGUGUAUAAUUUUUGAGUGGAAGUAAAUUUCCUUGGCAGUUGAUUGUAGCAAGAAAAAAUGUCUAAGGACUUUAAGUUUACAUGUUACAUAAUCAGACUGUGGGAUAUGGUUGUUUAAACAGGCAUAAGCUACAAAGACUAGAAGAAAGUAUGUCAAUACAGCUUAGUAGUAAAUGAAGUUUAGCAGUAAAUGCGUUGUUUUGUUUACAUGAAACACAAUGGAAUUGAUGUGUUUGAUCUUAGAGUCACAUUUUAAAAGGAAUAUCAGGCAAACCAAAUUAUAAUAAGUCGAAAGAAAGAUAUUCCUGGGCUUUUUUUUUUUUUUUUUUCCUAUUGGAGAAGAGUGGAGAUUGUCUGAAGAAGUGCCAUAUAUUUUACAUACCAUUAAUCUAACCUGUUAUAAGUGAACAGUUUAAUGAUUUUUAGUAAAUGUACUGAAUUGUGCAUCCAUGACCACAAUUCAAGUAUAGAGUAUUUCCAUCAUCCAAAUAAGAUGCCUUGUGCUUAUUUACAAUUAUGUCUAGUUAGGUUAUUUUUCUUACUAUAGGCAUAGCUAUGACAGUUGUGUAAAAGUUGCAGAGAAACACAUUAAUUUUUUCAGCAUCAUAAAAAGAGGCUGAAACCAAAUAGAGAGGGUCCUGGGUUAUGCACCAUGGAGCUCAGGUGUGUGAUUUAGCCAGUUCAGGCUUGGGCUCUCAUCUUUUCCAGUACUUGCGAAUCAGCUUUCUAAUUAACCACUCCUCCUUUUCUCCAUUUCCCUCCCCUCCCCUCCCUCCCUUCCUUCCUUCCUUCCUUUCUUUUUCUGUCUUUUUAGGGCUGCACACAUGGCAUAUGGAAGUUCCCAGGCUAGGGGUUGAAUCAGAGCUUUAGCUGCCAGCCUACACUGCAGCCACAGGAACGCUAUAUCCGAGUUGCAUCUGUGACCUACCCCACAGCUCACAGCAACACCAGAUUCUUAACCCACUGAGCAAAGCCAGGGAUUGAACCCAUGUCCUCAUGGAUACUAGUCUAGUUCAUUACCGCUGAGCCACAAUGGGAACUCCACUCUCUUCCUCCUCUUACUCUUCCCAACAUGGAAUAUAAAGCAAAAAAAUAGCUUUUUUUUUUUUUAACCAUUUCCUUUCUUUGAAUUUAUUUGCUCAGCCAGCCUGUUCUCUACUUAUUUCUUCACUGUUUUUUUCCCCACUAUACCUUAUUGAAGGAACCCUUCACCCCUUUCUGGAGAGCAAAGGAAAACGUUUUCCCUCCAGACUUCUAUUUUACUUCCCCUUUUAAAGUUUUUUAAAGACUAUUUUUAGAGCAGUUCACAGCAAAAUUGAGAAGAUACAGAGGCUUACAGUAUUUAUGCAUGUAUACCCACACAUGCAUGGCCUCCCCCAUUAUCAACAUCCUCCACCAGAGUGGUACAUUUGUUUCAAUUGAUGAAUCUACAGUGACAUGUCAUAAUCACCCAAAGCUGGCCUUAGGAUUCACUCUUGGUGUUUUAUACUCUAUGGGUUUGGACACAAUAUAAUGUCAUUGUUAUAAUACUAUUCAGAAUAGUUUCACUGUCCUAACAAAUUCUCUGUGCUCUGCCUCUUUAUUCCUCACUCCCAAAUCCUGCAAAACCUGCCACCACUGAUCUUUUUACUGUCUCUAUGUUUUGCUUUCUCAAGAAUGUAUGUCAUAUGGGUGGAAUCCUACAGAAUGUAGCAUUUUCAUAUUGGCUUCAUUUGCAUGGUAAUAUGCAUUUAAGGUUACAGGAUGUCUUUCCAUUGCUUGAUCGCUAAUUUAUGUUUAGCACUGCCAUUGUCUGGAUGUACCACAGGUUAUUUAUUCAUUCACCUACUGAAGGAUGUUUUGAUUCCUCCCAAUUUGGUUGAUUAUGAAUAAAGCUUCUGUAAAUGUCCGUGUGCUGGGUUUUGUAUGAAAAUAAGUAUUCAGGAGUUCCCGUCGUGGCGCAGUGGUUAACGAAUCCAACUAGGAACCAUGAGGUUGCGGGUUCGGUCCCUGCCCUUGCUCAGUGGGUUAAGGAUCUAACGUUGCCGUGAGCUGUGGUGUAGGUUGCAGACGCGGCUCGGAUCCCGCUUUGCUGUGGCUCUGGCAUAGGCUGGCGGCUGCAGCUCCAAUUCGACCCUUAGCCUGGGAACCUCCAUAUGCCGCGGGAGCGGCCCAAAGAAAUAGCAAAA
rnacentral:lncRNA from 1 species